rnacentral:rRNA from 1 species
UACGUAGGUCCCGAACGUUGCGCGAAUUUACUGGGCGUAAAGCGUCCGUAGGCGGUUUAGCAAGUGGGUGGUGAAAUUUCACGGCUCAACCGUGAAACUGCCUUCCAAACUGCUAAACUUGAGGCAGGGAGAGGGCGGCGGAAUUCCCGGUGUAGCGGUGAAAUGCGUAGAUAUGGGGAGGAACACCAGUGGCGAAGGCGGCCGACUGGAACUGUCCUGACGCUGAUGGACGAAAGCUAGGGGAGCAAACCGG